UGCCAGCCGCCGCGGUAAGACGAAGGUGGCGACCGUUGUUCGGAAUCACUGGGCAUAAAGCGCACGUAGGCGGUAACGUCAGUCAGGUGUGAAAUCCCUCGGCCCAACCGAGGAACUGCGCUUGAUACUGUGUUACUUGAGGGCAGGAGGGGAGCGUGGAAUUCCUGGUGGAGCGGUGAAAUGCGUUGAUAUCAGGAGGAACACCGGCGGCGAAGGCGACGCUCUGGCCUGCUUCUGACGCUGAGGUGCGAAAGCCAGGGGAGCAAACGGGAUUAGAUA
rnacentral:rRNA from 1 species